rnacentral:rRNA from 1 species
CCUACGGGAGGCAGCAGUGAGGAAUAUUGGUCAAUGGGCGAGAGCCUGAACCAGCCAAGUCGCGUGAGGGAGUACUGCCCUAUGGGUUGUAAACCUCUUUUGUCGGGGAGCAAAAGCCGGACGUGUCCGGCUGUGAGAGUACCCGAAGAGAAAGCAUCGGCUAACUCCGUGCCAGCAGCCGCGGUAAUACGGAGGAUGCGAGCGUUAUCCGGAUUUAUUGGGUUUAAAGGGUGCGCAGGCGGAUUUUUAAGUCAGCGGUAAAAUCGUGGGGCUCAACCCCAUCCAGCCGUUGAAACUGGGGAUCUAGAGUGUGCGAGAGGUAUGCGGAAUGCGUGGUGUAGCGGUGAAAUGCAUAGAUAUCACGCAGAACCCCGAUUGCGAAGGCAGCAUACCGGUGCACAACUGACGCUCAGGCACGAAAGCGUGGGUAUCGAACAGGAUUAGAUACCCUAGUAGUC